AAAAAACUCCAGUCCUAUUUUAUUUACGAAAGAAAUAGUGGUUUUGUUAAAUUGCUUCACGUUCGAGGUAGCUACUGCGUUUUCAUGUUUUGAUGCUGUCAAAAUGCCAAUGGCUUGUUGCGGGGAUGAUUUUGUGUCAACACAGAGAAAGACAUAACAAAAGGUUUCAGCAAACACGACGUUUGUGUAUCGUAAACUAGCUGUGUGUGUAAGUUCAGUUAGCUCGAGAAAUCAUUAAAACACGCGUCAAGGAAGACCAAAAAGUAACAGAAAAAAAAGUUUGGUAUUUAUUGUUGAAAACUUAUUAACGAAAAAGGAAUCAUGUAUAAAUUUCUCGUCUGCAUCGCAAUCUUCCUUUUGAUUGGUUGUAGUCAUAUAAUGGCGCUACCACAUACGUAUUGCGUGGAUCAAUGUUGCGCGAAAUACAAGAAGUCGUCGUGUUUAACUCGAGCCGACUUUGAAAAUGAUGUACAGUUAAUGCAAGUAUUAAAAGGAUGCAUUGGCCACUUGAAGAACUGCUUUGAUCGAUGUGCUUCAACUCCUGGAGUAUACAGAACUGACUGCGAGUGAGGUGUACAACAGAGAGAAAGGAAGGAACAACUUUGUAAAUAAUUGACUGGCAACCUUUGUAUAAUAAAAAAGGCGCUUCUACGAGAAUUUCAAUUUUUUUCCUUUUCAAUUUAGUGACCUUUAUUUUAGUGACUACAAAAUUGUUAAGCUUUUAAUAUUGUUAAUUUUUUGUGUUGACUCGUCGGCCUGGAAGAACUUAUAUAUUUAUA